UGUCAUAGUUCAUAACGUGCUCGGACCAAAGGUGGCNUCUACAUGUAAGCUAUCGCGUCGGGAUGGGCCCAGUUAGGAUUAGCUAGUUGGUAAGGUAAUGGCUUACCAAGGCGACGAUCCUUAGCUGGUUUGAGAGGAUGAUCAGCCACACUGGGACUGAGACACGGCCCAGACUCCUACGGGAGGCAGCAGUGGGGAAUAUUGCACAAUGGGGGAGACCCUGAUGCAGCCAUGCCGCGUGUGUGAAGAAGGCCUUCGGGUUGUAAAGCACUUUCAGCAGUGAGGAAGGUAGUGUACUUAAUACGUGCAUUGCUUGACGUUAGCUGCAGAAGAAGCACCGGCUAACUCCGUGCCAGCAGCCGCGGUAAUACGGAGGGUGCGAGCGUUAAUCGGAAUUACUGGGCGUAAAGCGCAUGCAGGCGGUUUGUUAAGUCAGAUGUGAAAGCCCGGGGCUCAACCUCGGAACCGCAUUUGAAACUGGCAGGCUAGAGUCUUGUAGAGGGGGGUAGAAUUUCAGGUGUAGCGGUGAAAUGCGUAGAGAUCUGAAGGAAUACCAGUGGCGAAGGCGGCCCCCUGGACAAAGACUGACGCUCAGAUGCGAAAGCGUGGGUAGCAAACAG
rnacentral:rRNA from 2 species